rnacentral:rRNA from 1 species
UGGGGAAUAUUGGACAAUGGGCGAAAGCCUGAUCCAGCCAUGCCGCGUGUGUGAAGAAGGUCUUCGGAUUGUAAAGCACUUUAAGUUGGGAGGAAGGGCAGUAAGCGAUUACCUUGCUGUUUUGACGUUACCGACAGAAUAAGCACCGGCUAACUCUGUGCCAGCAGCCGCGGUAAUACAGAGGGUGCAAGCGUUAAUCGGAAUUACUGGGCGUAAAGCGCGCGUAGGUGGUUCGUUAAGUUGAAUGUGAAAGCCCCGGGCUCAACCUGGAACUGCAUCCAAAACUGGCGAGCUAGAGUAGGGCAGAGGGUGGUGGAAUUUCCUGUGUAGCGGUGAAAUGCGUAGAUAUAGGAAGGAACACCAGUGGCGAAGGCGACCACCUGGGCUCAUACUGACACUGAGGUGCGAAAGCGUGGGGAGCAAACAGG